AGACAUUCCACAAAAACCUCCAGGCCUGCUCAAGUCUCCGCCAAGGAGAGGGAGUAGGAUGCCAGUCAUACUGCACUGGGGCCCAUCUAAUGACUUCAUUUUAACUUGAUUGACUCUGCAAAGGCCCUGUCUCCAAAUAAUGUGUGUGUGAAAAUGCUAGAAAUAUCUCUUUUCAGCAAGCUUUCUGACCACAUUAAGAUUUUCUGCCUUUUCUCCUUUUGGGUUAAUUCUGGUAUCACUAUUUAGCUUUUUCUACAUUAGUCUCUUUUAAGACUAUAAUAGGGUUCAAAGUUAGAAAAAAACACUUUGGCAAAAAGUAGACUAGCUGGAACUGUAUAGGUAGUUCCAGCCAGCACAUGCCUUCAUGUCCAGAAAAAGACAGGUUCCAUGGAAUCAGUGCUCUCGGGUCUAGUAAGAAUGAAGGGAAGCAGUGACGAGGGGAAAAAAGUAAAUUGGACUUCAUUAAAAAUGAAAAACUUGGCUGAGUGUAGUGACUCUUCCUAGGAAAAAUACUUGCAAAUCAUGUAUCUGAUAAAAAGGUUGUAUCCAUAACAUAUAAAGAACUCUUAUAACUCGAUAAUCAAAAGAGCAAUAACCCAGUUGAAACUAACACAGGACAUCACUUCAUGCCUUCUAGGGUGGCUAAAGUGAAAGAGAUAAGAACUGUUGGUGAGGAUACGGAGAAACUGGAAACCUUAUACAUUGCUGUUGGAAAUGGAAAAUAGAAGACAAUUUGGCAGUUCCUCGAAAUUUUAAACAUAGAAUUACCAUGUGACCUAGCAUUUCUACUCCUAGGUGUAUACCCAAGGGAAAUGAAUUUGUAUCUCCACAAAAAACUUGAAUGUUUAUAGUAGCAUAAUUUAUAACAGGCAAAAAUUGGAAACAACCAAAUCACCAUCAACAAUGGGUAAACAAAAUGUGGUAUAUCCAGACAAGGGAGUAUUAUUCAACAAUAAAAAGGAAUAAACCUUGAAAACCAUAUGCUAAGUGAAAGAAGCCAGAUGCAAUAGGGCACAUAUUGCAUGAUUUCAUUUAUAUGAAAUGUCCAGAAUAGGCAAACCUAUAGACAGAAAGCAGGUCACUUUCCAGUGUAUGUUGCUAAGAUGUUUUGAUGUAGUAUUUACAUUAUAUUUUUUAUUGCCCAACCCCUACCAAAAGCUUCUGGUUCUGUAGAUCUCGAGUGCGCCCCAGAGUUUGCAUUACCGACUGGUUCCCUGAUGAUGCUUGUGCUGCCUGUCCAGGAAUCACACUGAGAACCACUGCUGCAGAUGAUACAGAGCCACUGAUAUAUUCAUAUUUGCCUUUUAGUACCCAACUACCUAGCUUUUUAUUUAGAACUAGACAGAACAGCUAGAGUAGUUGAGAAAUGGUCUAUUAAAAUAAGCUGGCCAAGUGUAGGAAUUCUAGUAGCUAUGGGACAUAAACCAGGUUUCCCCUGCAGUUUGAUGUGAAUGAGCCCAGCAUAUCUCCCUUUAAAGCUUUCUUUUUUGCUGUUCUGAA
rnacentral:lncRNA from 10 species